rnacentral:rRNA from 1 species
GGAGAGCAUGGUCCCGACUCAUAUGUUGGGUAUCUCUUAGAUAGAUGCAUGGUAGUAUAAAUGCGCGGAGAGAGGUGUGUUGUACCUAAAAGGGAUAUUCGUUUAAUACGAGUUCUAUUAGGGGGGUGUUAUUAAUUAAAAGAAGAGGCCCCAUGAAAGUCUCUAACACCAGUACUGGAUAUUAUGGCAAUGGGGGUCACCCCGACCUAGCUAAUGAGAAUUAGAGGUGAGCAAGACUUGGUGCCAGAACUCUCGGUGAGACCAGCUCCUCAAUCUAAACAUACACGGCUAGGUGGUUAGGCAGAAAGUUAAAAAAGUGUUUCGCGCGUUACUUCCAGAGGUCAAAUAGGAGGACGAUCGGCUUGCCCAGAUUAACACUUGACCGCUGAAUCCGCGAAACUCAGAGAAUAGACCCGGAUUAGAUACCCGGUUAUUCUGAAUGAAAAUAGCUUUUCACGCUGCCAGGGGACUACGGGGAACGCUCUGAAACCCGAGGGACUUGGCGGUGCAUUAAUCCCCCCAGGGGAACCUGGCCCUUAAUUCGAUGAUCCACGAACUUCUUACCUUCUCUAGUUUUUGGGUAGCUUGAUUAAAGUGCUUAACUGUCAGCUUGUAUACCGCCGUUUCUUAGCUUGUAUCGCGAGAGGACAUAAACAGGCGCCCCAGCGGUUCUUUAAUUAGGAUUUGCUGAUAAUUCAGGUAAACGUGCAGCUCAUGGGAAGGGGGUGCUGGGUUACAAUUGGGGUUUGUAAUGGCGUAGCUACCUUAAGGGUAGAACAAAAGAGUACUUGGAAGUAAUGGUUUUGGAUAAUGAAGCCGUGAAUGGUGCUCUAGUGUGUGUACAAAUCGCCCGUCGCUCGCCUUGAAAAGGGUGAUAAGUCGUAACACGGUAGGGGUACCGGAAGGUGUCCCUAAAACAAA